rnacentral:rRNA from 1 species
UACGUAGGGUGCGAGCGUUGUCCGGAAUUACUGGGCGUAAAGAGCUCGUAGGUGGUUUGUCGCGUUGUUCGUGAAAACUCACAGCUUAACUGUGGGCGUGCGGGCGAUACGGGCAGACUGGAGUACUGCAGGGGAGACUGGAAUUCCUGGUGUAGCGGUGGAAUGCGCAGAUAUCAGGAGGAACACCGGUGGCGAAGGCGGGUCUCUGGGGCUUUUCUGACGCUGAGGAACGAAAGCCAGGGGAGCGAACGGG